rnacentral:tRNA from 1 species
AGGAUUCUCCUAGAGUGGUCAAGGAUACCAGCCUGGGGCGCUGGCGAUCCGGGGUUCAAAUCCCCGCGACCCCA